rnacentral:rRNA from 1 species
GACGAACGCUGGCGGCGUGCUUAACACAUGCAAGUCGAACGAAGUGGCGAACGGGUGAGUAAUACGUGGGUAACCUGCCCUCCUUUUUGGGAUAAGCCUUGGAAACGGGGUCUAAUACCGGAUAAAGGGGGAUGGGCUCGCGGCCUAUCAGCUUGUUGGUGGGGUGAUGGCCUACCAAGGCGGUGACGGGUUGCCUGCCUGAGAGGGUGAACGGCAACAGUGGGAAUGGGAUAGGGCCCAGAGUACUACGGGAGGCAGCAGUGGGGGAUAUGGCAGAAUGGGCGAAAGCCUGAUGCAGCGACGCCGCGUGGGGGAUGAAGGCUGUCGGGUUGUAAACCUCUUGCGCUAUAGAACGGGUAGGUGGAGAAGAAGCGCCGGCUAACUACGUGCCAGCAGCCGCGGUAAUUC